UGGGGAAUAUUGCACAAUGGGCGCAAGCCUGAUGCAGCCAUGCCGCGUGUAUGAAGAAGGCCUUCGGGUUGUAAAGUACUUUCAGCGGGGAGGAAGGUGUUGAGGUUAAUAACCUCAGCAAUUGACGUUACCCGCAGAAGAAGCACCGGCUAACUCCGUGCCAGCAGCCGCGGUAAUACGGAGGGUGCAAGCGUUAAUAGGAAUUACUGGGCGUAAAGCGCACGCAGGCGGUCUGUCAAGUCGGAUGUGAAAUCCCCGGGCUCAACCUGGGAACUGCAUUCGAAACUGGCAGGCUAGAGUCUUGUAGAGGGGGGUAGAAUUCCAUGUGUAGCGGUGAAAUGCGUAGAGAUCUGGAGGAAUACCGGUGGCGAAGGCGGCCCCCUGGACAAAGACUGACGCUCAGGUGCGAAAGCGUGGGGAGCAAACA
rnacentral:rRNA from 1 species